rnacentral:rRNA from 1 species
GACGAACGCUGGCGGCGUGCUUAACACAUGCAAGUGGAGCGACGAACCAGGGCUUGCCCUGGGGCAAAGCCGCGAACGGGUGAGUAACACGUGGGUAACCUGCCCCGAUGACCGGGACAACCCGAGGAAACUCGGGCUAAUACCGGAUGAGCUCACGCCACAUCAGUGGCAUGAGGAAAGGAAGCUUCGGCCUCCGCAUUGGGAUGGGCCCGCGGCCCAUUAGCUUGUUGGGGGGUAAAGGCCUACCAAGGCUUCGAUGGGUAGCUGGUCUGAGAGGACGAUCAGCCACACUGGGACUGAGACACGGCCCAGACUCCUACGGGAGGCAGCAGUGGGGAAUCUUGCGCAAUGCGCGAAAGCGUGACGCAGCAACGCCGCGUGCGGGAAGACGGCCUCGGU